GACGAACGCUGGCGGCGCGCCUAACACAUGCAAGUCGAACGAGCGAGAGAGAGCUUACUUUCUCGAGCGAGUGGCGAACGGGUGAGUAACGCGUGAGGAACCUGCCUCAAAGAGGGGGACAACAGUUGGAAACGACUGCUAAUACCGCAUAAGCCCACGGCUCGGCAUCGAGCAGAGGGAAAAGGAGCAAUCCGCUUUGAGAUGGCCUCGCGUCCGAUUAGCUAGUUGGUGAGGUAACGGCCCACCAAGGCGACGAUCGGUAGCCGGACUGAGAGGUUGAACGGCCACAUUGGGACUGAGACACGGCCCAGACUCCUACGGGAGGCAGCAGUGGGGAAUAUUGCACAAUGGGGGAAACCCUGAUGCAGCGACGCCGCGUGGAGGAAGAAGGUCUUCGGAUUGUAAACUCCUGUUGUUGAGGAAGAUAAUGACGGUACUCAACAAGGAAGUGACGGCUAACUACGUGCCAGCAGCCGCGGUAAAACGUAGGUCACAAGCGUUGUCCGGAAUUACUGGGUGUAAAGGGAGCGCAGGCGGGAAGACAAGUUGGAAGUGAAAUCCAUGGGCUCAACCCAUGAACUGCUUUCAAAACUGUUUUUCUUGAGUAGUGCAGAGGUAGGCGGAAUUCCCGGUGUAGCGGUGGAAUGCGUAGAUAUCGGGAGGAACACCAGUGGCGAAGGCGGCCUACUGGGCACCAACUGACGCUGAGGCUCGAAAGUGUGGGUAGCAAACAGGAUUAGAUACCCUGGUAGUCCACACUGUAAACGAUGAUUACUAGGUGUUGGAGGAUUGACCCCUUCAGUGCCGCAGUUAACACAAUAAGUAAUCCACCUGGGGAGUACGACCGCAAGGUUGAAACUCAAAGGAAUUGACGGGGGCCCGCACAAGCAGUGGAGUAUGUGGUUUAAUUCGACGCAACGCGAAGAACCUUACCAAGUCUUGACAUCCUGCGACGCACAUAGAAAUAUGUGUUUCAUUCGGGACGCAGAGACAGGUGGUGCAUGGUUGUCGUCAGCUCGUGUCGUGAGAUGUUGGGUUAAGUCCCGCAACGAGCGCAACCCUUAUGGUCAGUUACUACGCAAGAGGACUCUGGCCAGACUGCCGUUGACAAAACGGAGGAAGGUGGGGAUGACGUCAAAUCAUCAUGCCCUUUAUGACUUGGGCUACACACGUACUACAAUGGCGUUAAACAAAGAGAAGCAAGACCGCGAGGUGGAGCAAAACUCAGAAACAACGUCCCAGUUCGGACUGCAGGCUGCAACUCGCCUGCACGAAGUCGGAAUUGCUAGUAAUCGCAGAUCAGCAUGCUGCGGUGAAUACGUUCCCGGGCCU
rnacentral:rRNA from 1 species